rnacentral:rRNA from 1 species
AUUGAACGCUGGCGGCAGGCUUAACACAUGCAAGUCGAGCGGAGAUGAGGUGCUUGCACCUUAUCUUAGCGGCGGACGGGUGAGUAAUGCUUAGGAAUCUGCCUAUGAGUGGGGGACAACAUUCCGAAAGGAAUGCUAAUACCGCAUACGUCCUACGGGAGAAAGCAGGGGAUCUUCGGACCUUGCGCUAAUAGAUGAGCCUAAGUCGGAUUAGCUAGUUGGUGGGGGAAAGGCCUACCAAGGCGACGAUCUGUAGCGGGUCUGAGAGGAUGAUCCGCCACACUGGGACUGAGACACGGCCCAGACUCCUACGGGAGGCAGCAGUGGGGAAUAUUGGACAAUGGGGGGAACCCUGAUCCAGCCAUGCCGCGUGUGUGAAGAAGGCCUUAUGGUUGUAAAGCACUUUAAGCGAGGAGGAGGCUACUGAGACUAAUACUCUUGGAUAGUGGACGUUACUCGCAGAAUAAGCACCGGCUAACUCUGUGCCAGCAGCCGCCGUAACAC